CCUACGAGCGGCUGCAGUGGGGAAUAUUGGACAAUGGGGGCAACCCUGAUCCAGCCAUGCCGCGUGUGUGAAGAAGGCCCUCGGGUUGUAAAGCACUUUCAGUGAGGAAGAACGCCUGGUGGUUAAUACCCAUCAGGAAAGACAUCACUCACAGAAGAAGCACCGGCUAACUCCGUGCCAGCAGCCGCGGUAAUACGGAGGGUGCGAGCGUUAAUCGGAAUUACUGGGCGUAAAGCGCGCGUAGGUGGCUUGAUAAGCCGGUUGUGAAAGCCCCGGGCUCAACCUGGGAACGGCAUCCGGAACUGUCAAGCUAGAGUGCAGGAGAGGAAGGUAGAAUUCCCGGUGUAGCGGUGAAAUGCGUAGAGAUUGGGAGGAAUACCAGUGGCGAAGGCGGCCUUCUGGACUGACACUGACACUGAGGUGCGAAAGCGUGGGUAGCAAACAGGAUUAGAUACCCUGGUAGUC
rnacentral:rRNA from 1 species